rnacentral:rRNA from 1 species
GAGUUUGAUCAUGGCUCAGAUUGAACGCUGGCGGCAUGCCUUACACAUGCAAGUCGAACGGCAGCAUGAUCUAGCUUGCUAGAUUGAUGGCGAGUGGCGAACGGGUGAGUAAUACAUCGGAACGUGCCCUGUAGUGGGGAGUAACUAGUCGAAGAUUAGCUAAUACCGCAUACGACCUGAGGGUGGAAAGUAGGGGGACCGCAAGGCCUCAUGCUAUAGGAGCGGCCGAUGUCUGAUUAGCUAGUUGGUGGGGUAAAGGGCCCACCAACGGCGACGAUCAGUAGCUGGUCUGAGAGGACGGAUCAGCCACACCUGGGGAC